UACGAAGGGGGCUAGCGUGGCUCGGAAUCACUGGGCGUAAAGCGCACGUAGGCGGAUUGUUAAGUCAGGGGUGAAAUCCUGGAGCUCAACUCCAGAACUGCCUUUGAUACUGGCGAUCUCGAGUCCGGGAGAGGUGAGUGGAACUGCGAGUGUAGAGGUGAAAUUCGUAGAUAUUCGCAAGAACACCAGUGGCGAAGGCGGCUCACUGGCCCGGUACUGACGCUGCGGUGCGAAAGCGUGGGGAGCAAACAGG
rnacentral:rRNA from 1 species